ensembl:lncRNA
UUUGCUUAUUUGAGCUGUUCUUGCCAUAAUAUGGACUUGGUCUUUUACCAAAUAGGGCUAUCUUCUGUAUAUCCCCCUACCUUGUCACAACACAACUGAUUGGCUCAAACACAGAGAUAUAGGGGAGGUAAUGACAGAGGUGACUUGAGUCCAGGUGAGUCCAAUAAUCGCUGAUGCGCGUGACGGAGAAAGGCAGGUGUGCUUACUGAUGGUGGCAGGAGUGCGUAAUGAUAGGGAGCCUGAAGCCUGGCGCCUUCCACACACCAGGGAGGGAGAGCGGGAGCAGCCGUGAAAGAACACCUACUCAUUCUAUUCCCUGCUGCAGCAGUAAUUGUCGGUUUGUACGGAUGUGCUGACGCUGUUCUUGUCUUGGUCUUUGUGCAUUUCCUGAUUAAAUGUUGACUCCCCGUAUCUCCGGCGACGGUCCUUACAUGUUCUAAAACUUUUGACCGGUAGUGUAGCGCAAAAACAAAUAACAAAUGGAAAUUACAAGUUAAUUUAGUUUUAAAGACUGAUUAACACAACACAAUUUUUUUAGUAUUUAUAUUGCAGUAAAUUAGACUAAAUUACUCACUCAAAAUGUACAUACAUGGAGUGUACAAAUCAUUAAGAACAUACCCCUCCUUUGCACUCAGAACAGCCUCAAUUCAUUGGGACAUAGAUUCUACAAGGUGUCGAAAGCAUUCCACAGGGAUGCUGGCACAUUUUUGACUCCAAUGCUUCCCACAGUUGUGUCAAGUUGGGUUGAUGUCCUUUGGGUGGUGGACCAUUCUUGAUACUGAAGGGGUUAAACCAAGGCCUCAUCCCUUUUAAAGGGUUAAUAAGUUGUGUUAUGAUAAAAUGUGUGUGUAUUAACACCUGUUUUGAGUGUUUUGCCCUUCAGACAGUAUCAGAAGAAGGAAUCCGCCUACGUUCAUACAUACUCCUCCUGUCUGGGCCCCACCUGGCUAUCUGAGGUUCUGAGAACACGACUGGUUUUCUGAGAACACAAGGCUGCCGCAGGCCUAAUGAAAACAGCCACCUGUCAGAAGCUGCUUGGACUCGUUCACCUUGUUAUGACCCUAUACUUGUGAUGAAAGAUGGCUUCUCGACACUGAGGAUGAGCUCAGUGAUAUCCAGGCUGAAUCUGUUCCUCCUGAGGUCCAUGAUUGGCUGGCCUCCACCUUCACCAGGAAGAUGGCCGUGUCACGGCAGCGGCGGCCGGAGGAGAAGCCGCGGUUUUGCAGUAUCGUCCACGCCGUCCAGGCUGGCAUCUUUAUGGAGAGAAAGGAAUAGCGGAAAACUACGAAGAAGGACUGUGUGAUGAUGGCAUCUCAGAGUGCGAGUUGAUCAAGGGGUCGAAAAUGUAGACAUUGUCAGAUGUUCACUGUCCGAGGAACAGGCAGUGGAGCUUUAUUGCUGGCAAAAGUGUCCAUGACCAGAGCAUAAAGUACUCUGUAGGCACUUACUGUGGACACCAGGUGAGACCACACACACACACAAUAACAUUCUCUCUCCGUAACAACUUCAUCCCUCUCCCCCUUCUCCCUAAAUCCUCUAGGUUAUAUCAGCAGUGUUGGUGAAC